UGGGGAAUAUUGGACAAUGGGCGCAAGCCUGAUCCAGCCAUGCCGCGUGAGUGAUGAAGGCCCUAGGGUUGUAAAGCUCUUUCACCGGUGAAGAUAAUGACGGUAACCGGAGAAGAAGCCCCGGCUAACUUCGUGCCAGCAGCCGCGGUAAUACGAAGGGGGCUAGCGUUGUUCGGAUUUACUGGGCGUAAAGCGCACGUAGGCGGACUUUUAAGUCAGGGGUGAAAUCCCGGGGCUCAACCCCGGAACUGCCUUUGAUACUGGAAGUCUUGAGUAUGGUAGAGGUGAGUGGAAUUCCGAGUGUAGAGGUGAAAUUCGUAGAUAUUCGGAGGAACACCAGUGGCGAAGGCGGCUCACUGGACCAUUACUGACGCUGAGGUGCGAAAGCGUGGGGGGCAAACAGG
rnacentral:rRNA from 1 species